UCAGUCAGAAAGCAUUGGUACGGUGAGG
rnacentral:piRNA from 1 species